rnacentral:rRNA from 1 species
UAGGGAAUAUUGGUCAAUGGACGGAAGUCUGAACCAGCCAUGCCGCGUGCAGGAAGACGGCCUUCCGGGUUGUAAAUUGCUUUUAUCAGGGAAGAAUAAGCUUCUUGCGAGGGGUGAUGCCUGUACCUGGUGAAUAAGCACCGGCUAACUCCGUGCCAGCAGCCGCGGUAAUACGGAGGGUGCGAGCGUUGUCCGGAUUUAUUGGGUUUAAAGGGUGCGUAGGCGGCCUGUUAAGUCAGUGGUGAAAGGUAUCAGCUCAACUGAUGACGUGCCAUUGAAACUGGCGGGCUUGAGUACAGACGAGGUAGGCGGAAUUUAUGGUGUAGCGGUGAAAUGCAUAGAUACCAUAAAGAACACCGAUAGCGAAGGCAGCUUACUAGGCUGAGACUGACGCUGAGGCACGAAAGCGUGGGGAGCGAACAGGAUUAGAUACCCCCGUAGUCC